UUCUAAGACCAACAGGGAUUUCGUGAAAAGGCAUCAGCAGGAGGUGGCUUGACCAUGUUUUUGCGGUGAUCUGAAGAAGAGAUCAGUAGGGCAGGCGGAUGGAACACCUGUUUCUGAGGCAGAAUCAACAAGACUUGGGAAUCGAUGGACUGGCGGGCUCUGGAGACGGAGAGUUCGCAUUGACGUUCAUGUUUUAUCCAGGACAGACAAAGGACAGUUUUCAGGCAUGGCCAGUAAGAGACUGUAAAACAGGACGAAGGAUCUGAAAAGGUGUUCACAGAGCAGAACUCCCAGCGUGCAAGCAAAAGUCACAGAGGUCUCGUCCCACCUCUGACCCACAACCCGGAUGCCGAGCCAAACCGAGACGCGGUUUCCACCACAUCAGAUGAGGGCCUGGCACCCGGAAAAGCUCCAUCAGUAUUUACCAGACAGACGACCUGAUGGACCCUG